rnacentral:lncRNA from 1 species
UAACUCGUUUUACACAUUCAAUCACAACUUAUCAUUGCCUGUUGAACCAUUCGGAAUUAAAUAGGAUACUUGGAUAAUCACAUAUAUCGUACAAUGCCAAUGUCCUAAACGUGGUCUUACAUGUUAUCACAUAUCGAUGCCACUAUCCUAGACAGGGUCUUACACGAAUCAAAUAUGAUGCCAAUGUCCCAAACAUGGUCUUACACAUAAU